rnacentral:rRNA from 1 species
AUGGAGUUGGUAGAGCUGUCCACCAGAUCGCUAGCUGAGGCAAUGUUUGAGAAGCUCGGGCUACCUAAACCAGUCUAUUAUGUGCACCAGCUUGAGCAGGGUCGAUAUAGAUCAGAGGUUGAAUUUCACUGUACAAAAGAGCGCUUCCACGCUUCAGCACAUUGGACUAAACUGUCAAGUUGUAUAUGUGAGUAUGGGGAAGCAUCAUUGAAUCAUGCAGCCGAUAAGGCCAUCGGAUACAUGGAAACCAGAGAGAGGAAGGUUGUUGUUAACUACUAUCAGCUGCAGGAACAGAAAAACAGCCACCUUUUGUUUCAUAUCGAUCAAACCAGUAUCUUUCCCAUUUUGGGGUACUCGAGCAAGAUAUGUAUAGUCUUUGGUCUUCUAUUGCUACCUUAUUUUCAGGUCAACUACACUGAAAGCAAACUAAAAGAUUACAUUGAUCCAGAUUAUGAUAUGCUCAAGGUCAGGUUUGCAAAGAGUGAUCGACACACCCAUUGUCGCAUCAUCGUAGGAACCGACAAGACAGCUACCGUAACAACCAACUGGUCUGAGUUCCGCCGCCUUGCAAAAAUCCAUGAAGGAGACAUCUGUGCCUUUCUUUUUCAAGGUCACCACAGAGCAACACCUGGUUCUCAUCAUGCAUUGCCUUUAGAUGAACCAUUGAUAGCAACAGAAGUCGUAUCUAGAUAUCAUCUAGCAUUCUAA